rnacentral:rRNA from 1 species
UGACUGCGUACCUUUUGUAUAAUGGGUCAGCGACUUAUAUUCUGUAGCAAGGUUAACCGAAUAGGGGAGCCGGAGGGAAACCGAGUCUUAAUUGGGCGUUAAGUUGCAGGGUAUAGACCCGAAACCCGGUGAUCUAGCCAUGGGCAGGUUGAAGGUUGGGUAACACUAACUGGAGGACCGAACCGACUAAUGUUGAAAAAUUAGCGGAUGACCUGUGGCUGGGGGUGAAAGGCCAAUCAAACCGGGAGAUAGCUGGUUCUCCCCGAAAGCUAUUUAGGUAGCGCCUCGUGAAUUCAUCUCCGGGGGUAGAGCACUGUUUCGGCUAGGGGGCCAUCCCGGCUUACCAACCCGAUGCAAACUGCGAAUACCGGAGAAUGUUAUCACGGGAGACACACGGCGGGUGCUAACGUCCGUCGUGAAGAGGGAAACAACCCAGACCGCCAGCUAAGGUCCCAAAGUCAUGGUUAAGUGGGAAACGAUGUGGGAAGGCCCAGACAGCCAGGAUGUUGGCUUAGAAGCAGCCAUCAUUUAAAGAAAGCGUAAUAGCUCACUGGUCGAGUCGGCCUGCGCGGAAGAUGUAACGGGGCUAAACCAUGCACCGAAGCUGCGGCAGCGACACUCAGGUGUUGUUGGGUAGGGGAGCGUUCUGUAAGCCUGCGAAGGUGGCCUGUGAGGGUUGCUGGAGGUAUCAGAAGUGCGAAUGCUGACAUAAGUAACGAUAAAGCGGGUGAAAAGCCCGCUCGCCGGAAGACCAAGGGUUCCUGUCCAACGUUAAUCGGGGCAGGGUGAGUCGACCCCUAAGGCGAGGCCGAAAGGCGUAGUCGAUGGGAAACGGGUUAAUAUUCCCGUACUUGGUGUUACUGCGAAGGGGGGACGGAGAAGGCUAUGUUGGCCGGGCGACGGUUGUCCCGGUUUAAGCGUGUAGGUGUGUGUUCCAGGUAAAUCCGGUUCACUUUAACACUGAGGCGUGAUGACGAGGCACUACGGUGCUGAAGCAACAAAUGCCCUGCUUCCAGGAAAAGCCUCUAAGCAUCAGGUAACAUCAAAUCGUACCCCAAACCGACACAGGUGGUCAGGUAGAGAAUACCAAGGCGCUUGAGAGAACUCGGGUGAAGGAACUAGGCAAAAUGGUGCCGUAACUUCGGGAGAAGGCACGCUGACACGUAGGUGAAGUGAUUUACUCAUGGAGCUGAAGUCAGUCGAAGAUACCAGCUGGCUGCAACUGUUUAUUAAAAACACAGCACUGUGCAAACACGAAAGUGGACGUAUACGGUGUGACGCCUGCCCGGUGCCGGAAGGUUAAUUGAUGGGGUCAGCGCAAGCGAAGCUCCUGAUCGAAGCCCCGGUAAACGGCGGCCGUAACUAUAACGGUCCUAAGGUAGCGAAAUUCCUUGUCGGGUAAGUUCCGACCUGCACGAAUGGCGUAAUGAUGGCCAGGCUGUCUCCACCCGAGACUCAGUGAAAUUGAACUCGCUGUGAAGAUGCAGUGUACCCGCGGCAAGACGGAAAGACCCCGUGAACCUUUACUAUAGCUUGACACUGAACAUUGAGCCUUGAUGUGUAGGAUAGGUGGGAGGCUUUGAAGUGUGGACGCCAGUCUGCAUGGAGCCGGCCUUGAAAUACCACCCUUUAAUGUUUGAUGUUCUAACGUGGACCCGUGAUCCGGGUUGCGGACAGUGUCUGGUGGGUAGUUUGACUGGGGCGGUCUCCUCCUAAAGAGUAACGGAGGAGCACGAAGGUUGGCUAAUCCUGGUCGGACAUCAGGAGGUUAGUGCAAUGGCAUAAGCCAGCUUGACUGCGAGCGUGACGGCGCGAGCAGGUGCGAAAGCAGGUCAUAGUGAUCCGGUGGUUCUGAAUGGAAGGGCCAUCGCUCAACGGAUAAAAGGUACUCCGGGGAUAACAGGCUGAUACCGCCCAAGAGUUCAUAUCGACGGCGGUGUUUGGCACCUCGAUGUCGGCUCAUCACAUCCUGGGGCUGAAGUAGGUCCCAAGGGUAUGGCUGUUCGCCAUUUAAAGUGGUACGCGAGCUGGGUUUAGAACGUCGUGAGACAGUUCGGUCCCUAUCUGCCGUGGGCGCUGGAGAACUGAGGGGGGCUGCUCCUAGUACGAGAGGACCGGAGUGGACGCAUCACUGGUGUUCGGGUUGUCAUGCCAAUGGCACUGCCCGGUAGCUAAAUGCGGAAGAGAUAAGUGCUGAAAGCAUCUAAGCACGAAACUUGCCCCGAGAUGAGUUCU